GUGGGGAAUAUUGGACAAUGGGCGAAAGCCUGAUCCAGCAAUGCCGCGUGAGUGAUGAAGGCCUUAGGGUUGUAAAGCUCUUUUACCCGGGAUGAUAAUGACAGUACCGGGAGAAUAAGCUCCGGCUAACUCCGUGCCAGCAGCCGCGGUAAUACGGAGGGAGCUAGCGUUGUUCGGAAUUACUGGGCGUAAAGCGCACGUAGGCGGCUUUGUAAGUUAGAGGUGAAAGCAUGGAGCUUAACUCCAGAACUGCCUUUAAGACUGCAUCGCUUGAAUCCAGGAGAGGUGAGUGGAAUUCCGAGUGUAGAGGUGAAAUUCGUAGAUAUUCGGAAGAACACCAGUGGCGAAGGCGGCUCACUGGACUGGUAUUGACGCUGAGGUGCGAAAGCGUGGGGAGCAAACAGGAUUAGAAACCCGAGUAGUCC
rnacentral:rRNA from 1 species